AAGCACAACUAAGUGUCUUGGUGCCUUGUCUGUGGCCUUCCAAGCCUCAUUCUUGUGCGAGAUCAAGUUCCAGUUUACAGAAGGACUGCGCAUUUGUAGCUUAUCCCUUUCGAAGGCUGGGGACAAUU